rnacentral:rRNA from 1 species
AGGGCGUGUAGGCGGUUCGGUAAGUCGGGGGUGAAAACCCGGGGCUCAACCCCGGGUCUGCCUCCGAAACUGCGGGACUUGAGUGCUCUAGAGGGUAGUGGAAUUGCCGGUGUAGCAGUGAAAUGCGUAGAGAUCGGCAGGAACACCAGUGGCGAAGGCGACUGCCUGGGGAGUAACUGACGCUGAGGCGCGAAAGCUGGGGGAGCAAAC